AGGGGUAGGGAAGUACUUGUAUUUCCUGAGACCGGCGAACGGGUGCGUAACGCGUAUGCAACCUACCUUUAUCAGGGGGAUAGCCCAGAGAAAUUUGGAUUAAUACCGCAUAAUAUAUUUGAUGGCAUCAUCAGAUAUUGAAAGAUUUAUUGGAUAGAGAUGGGCAUGCGUAGGAUUAGCUAGUUGGUAAGGUAAUGGCUUACCAAGGCGACGAUCCUUAGGGGCUCUGAGAGGAGUAACCCCCACACUGGUACUGAGAUACGGACCAGACUCC
rnacentral:rRNA from 1 species